rnacentral:rRNA from 1 species
AGUGAACGCUGGCGGCAGGCCUAACACAUGCAAGUCGAACGGCAGCACAGAGGAGCUUGCUCCUUGGGUGGCGAAUGGCGGACGGGUGAGGAAUGCAUCGGAAUCUGCCUAUUUGUGGGGGAUAACGUAGGGAAACUUACGCUAAUACCGCAUACGUCCUACGGGAGAAAGUGGGGGACCUUCGGGCCUCACGCAGAUAGAUGAGCCGAUGCCGGAUUAGCUAGUUGGCGGGGUAAAGGCCCACCAAGGCGACGAUCCGUAGCUGGUCUGAGAGGAUGAUCAGCCACACUGGAACUGAGACACGGUCCAGACUCCUACGGGAGGCAGCAGUGGGGAAUAUUGGACAAUGGGCGCAAGCCUGAUCCAGCCAUGCCGCGUGUGUGAAGAGGGCCUUCGGGUUGUAAAGCACUUUUGUCCGGAAAGAAAAGCGCUCGAUUAAUACUCGGGUGUUAUGACGGUACCGGAAGAAUAAGCACCGGCUAACUUCGUGCCAGCCGCCGCGGUAAAAC